rnacentral:rRNA from 1 species
GACGAACGCUGGCGGCGUGCUUAACACAUGCAAGUCGAACGAAGUGGCGAACGGGUGAGUAACGCGUAAUCCACCUGCCCUUCAGAGGGGGACAACAGUUGGAAACGAUUGCUAAUACCGCAUACUGAAGGAGGGGCUUGCGUCUGAUUAGCGAGUUGGAGGGGUAACGGCCCACCAAGGCGAUGAUCGGUAGCAGGUCUGAGAGGAGGAACGGCGACAUUGGGACUGAGACACGGCCCAGACUCCUACGGGAGGCAGCAGUGGGGAAUCUUCCGGAAUGGACGACAGUCUGACGGGGCAACGCCGCGUGAGUGAUGACGGCCUUCGGGUUGUAAAGCUCUGUUAAUCGGGACGCGGUACCGGAAUAGAAAGCCACGGCUAACUACGUGCCAGCAGCCGCGGUAAUAC